GUCCUGCGGGGGCCCCGUGGGAAGAGGGGAGUGAGUGAGCGGGCGAGAGCCACACACAGCCUCCUGCUGUCCUUGGGGCUGCAAGGAUUGCUGGGGCCAGGAUGAGGUCCCGUUGGGAGAAGAGACCAUCAGGAAAUCUCAGAUGCAAGGCAAGGAGCUCCGAAUAAGAAGUCGCCAACGUCUCAGUUUGCUGCGGAAGAUCAUCACUUAGGGAAACUGUCCACACUUGGCUGCCGAGCCAGCACAUCCUUCCUGGAAGCUGUGGUCAGUCCUGCUGAAGUCUUCGUCUUCUUUUCAUCAGCCAGUGGAGAAAUGGAUGGAUGAUGCCAUUGGGAGGAAGGAGGAGUGAAAGCAGUAGAAGGAUCUGGCUUGAGAAACACAGGAACUGUUAAGAAGAAGCCUGUUGCUUUUGAGGCUUAAGCUGGUUGAGGUCAGAGGCAGGUGAUAGAGCCGAUGGAGAACUUCCAUUUAUGUGAUGUAUACACCUAACAUUUGCACGUAAUGAAUU